AGAAACUGGCAGGAGAUGGUAUGGCUCAAACGGUUCCUUCAAGAGCUUGGAUUGCAUCAGAAGGAGUAUGUCGUCUAUUGUGACAGUCAAAGUGCAAUAGACCUUAGCAAGAACUCUAUGUACCAUGCAAGGACCAAACACAUUGAUGUGAGAUAUCAUUGGAUUCGAGAAAAGGUAGAUAAUAAAUCUCUAAAAGUCUUGAAGAUUUCUACAAGUGAGAAUCCCGUAGAUAUGCUGACCAAGGUGGUACCAAGGAACAAGUUCGAGCUAUGCAAAGAACUUGUCGGCAUGCACUCAAACUAGAAGACAGUGCUACCUCCUCUAGAUGAAUGAGACUGGAGGGGGAGAUUGAUGAGGUCCAUCUCAUUGAAGAAGUAUUAGACAUGUGCCUAAUAAAAGUUUUCUUUGGUUUGGUAGCCAACCUUGUUGACUUGGUUUGGUUGGUAGCCAACCUUGUUGAAUUAGUUUGGUUUGGUAGCCAACUUUGUUGAAUUUCUUUAGUUUGGUAGCAAACUUUGUUGAAUUGUGAAAAGUGUGUGUAAAUUGUCAAAUAUGGUAGGCUUUAGAGAGUGAAACUUUGGCUAUAAAAGGAGAGCUUCAACUCUCAUUUCUACACACCAACAAAGAGAGAAAGAAAGAGUGAGAUUUCACAGACAAGGUAUAAGAAAAUAGUCUGUGAGGAAAAUAGAGAGUGAGCGAUAUUGUAGUGAGGUGGGAAUAUCAAAAGAGGGUUAUUUCUUUUUGAGUGUUGUAG
rnacentral:lncRNA from 1 species